rnacentral:lncRNA from 1 species
AUUCAGUCAAAGGGGAUUCACCUUUAAAAACAAAUCUCAUAGCAUACUACAUAUUUUCCGGAUACAUUAGAAUUACUAGAUUCAAUUUUUUUUUUUUACAUCAAAUAAUUAAUUUUGUUUUUUACUCAUUUUACAGUGGCGAAUUCUGAAAUUUCUUAAGGGGCGCCACGCCCACUGACUGUCUAAGAGGGGCCCGUCAUGCUUCUGUGAUUCUCUAAAUUAUCAACCAAAUUUCGCACAUAAAGGGGUAGGGCGGUCCCCUGGAAAACCCUAUAGAUCCGCCUAUGGUUUAUGUUUGUUUUAGUACUUUUUGCAUCGUGCUCUUUUUUUCAUGAGUAUCCUCUGGGUGGGCGUGUGGUCUAAGAAGUCAUGCUUCUAAAUCACUAGUCCUUCAACACUGAGAUCGAACCCCGUACGUGACAGGUGCGUUCGACUCAAAUCUUAAUUGGUAAGGAUUGUCAGUUUUCCUGUCGACACUCCGCCUUUUCCCACUUAUAAAACCUGACCGCCACUAUAUACUAGUAGUCAAUAGCUCUAAAAGUGGGUUAACAUGAACACCAAAAAAUCUACCAAUCUUUUCUUUAGGGGGAAAGUGGCCUAAAAUGUCGUCACCAGAACGAAUCAUUUUUGAAAAAAGAGUUCUUUGGUGUUUUAUGUUCCUAUACAUUAAAGCCUUGGUAUGAAAUAAACAUGCUCUUUUACUAUUUUGAUUGAAACUAGAGCUCAGCGUUCGAUAGGGGCCAAAAAUGAAGAAAACAGAUUGAAAUAUCAAAUUUUAUAAUUAAAUGUUUACCAAACGUUGCAUGUGUUAAAUUUCUCUUUUCUCUUUUCUUCCCCAAGAACUGAUUACCUUUGCUGUAAUUGUUAAAACCUUUCAUGAUCGAUAUUAGUCCCUUAAUGUUUUGUAUUUUGCCUUUUUAGCAUUUUUAAUUCGAGCGUCACUGAUGAGUCUUUGAUAGACGAAACA